AUGUACAAUCUGUCUCAGUCAAGACUGUACAUGUGCUUUUUUCCAUAAACGAAUCAAUCAUCAUUUGUUACAGAGCGCUGAAGAAGAUGGUUGAUGACACUGCAAGUAACUGGAAUGAAUUCCUUGAGCCCACUUUGAUUUCUUUGCGAACUAAAGUACACGCAACAACAAAACUUUCACCCUUUCGACUAAUGUUUUGCAAUGACCCAGUGUUUCCAGAAGAAGUCUCAGAGAAUGGCAUGAUUCCAGAUAUCAAUGAAUUUGGGGAAGAUUUCUGCAAAGAGUACAGGACAAAUAUGAAAUCUAGACCAGUGGUCUCCAAAGUGGGGUGCGCGCACCCCAGGGGUUGUGCAAGACGAUCCACUGGGGGGGCGUGGCAGGAGGAGCGCCGCUGGAGAAAAAAAAAAAGGGCGGCCGGAGGAGCGCCACCCUAAAGUUGGCCGGAAUGCCGCCCCUUACAGUGUGCUGCCCCAGGCACGUGCUUCCUACGCUGGUGGCUGGAGCCGGCCCUGUGAGGUAUCCUGAGGUAAGAGUGGGAGUUCCACAAUGCGGAGAGGUUGACAGUGCUGCCCCCUCUCGUUCGUUCGCUUUCAGCGUAUUGCGACGUAUCACAGUUUAUGUGUGCCCGGUUAAGUGGAUUUAUGGAUUAUAUUAUCUAGUUUUAACUAAACUAACCCUCACAAAAUGGACAAGUGGCUUAAAAAGAUUCCUGCAAAGAAACUGCAGAUUGAAGAUAAUACACCUCUACCCCAACAUAACGCUGUCCUCGGGAGCCAAAAAAUCUUAACGCGUUAUAGGUGAAACCGCGGUAUAUUGAACUUGCUUUGAUCCGCCAGAGUGCACAGCCCUGCCCCUCCGGAGCACUGCUUUACCACGUUCUAUCCAAAUUCGUGUUAUAUUGGGUCACGUUAUAUCGGGGUAGAGGUGUACUAAUAAUGCAAGCACAAGCAAACAACAAGAAAAUGGCAGAGCUGGCAGUUCUCCUACUCCUAGUACGAGCUCUUCGUCAGCCACACUAUGAGGUAAAAACAAUGAUGAUCUAAUCAGAUCUGAC
rnacentral:lncRNA from 1 species